rnacentral:tRNA from 2 species
GCGCGCGUAGCUCAGUCGGUUAGAGCGUACGCUUCACACGCGUAAGGUCUCUGGUUCGAUCCCAGACGCGCGCA